GCCCCCAUGGACGAAUGGGACGCUGCCCGCAUAAUCUGCCACUGCGGUCCUGAUUUCAAUGGUGGAGGUUCGAAUCCUCCUGGGGGCA